CCUGUGGACUGUUAUAUCAAAUGUUAUUAGCGAGCAAUUGGCGAGGGCAGACAGGGUGAAGCAGGAA
rnacentral:sRNA from 12 species